rnacentral:rRNA from 1 species
GCUAAACGCGAAGAACCUUACCCAGGUUUGACAUCCCAGGAAUUUUGGCGAAAGCCAGAAGUGCCUUCGGGAACCUGGUGACAGAUGCUGCAUGGCCGUCGUCAGCUCGUGUCGUGAGAUGUUGGGUUAAGUCCCGCAACGAGCGCAACCCUCGUCGUCAGUUGUAUUUUCUGGCGAGACCGCCCGGGCCAACCGGGAGGAAGGUGGGGAUGACGUCUGGUCAGCAUGGCUCUUACACCUCGGGCUACACACGUCCUACAAUGGCCACUACAACGCGCUGCCAAACCGUAAGGUGGAGCAAAUCGCACCAAAAGUGGUCUCAGUUCGGAUUGAGGGCUGAAACUCGCCCUCAUGAAGCCGGAUUUGCUAGUAAUGGCAGGUCAGCCAUACUGCCGUGAAUACGUUCCCGGGUCUUGUACACACCG